GGCCGUUUAGUCUAGUGGUAUGAUUCUUGGUUUGGGUGCAAGAGGUCCUAGGUCCAGUUCCCGGAACGGCCC